rnacentral:sRNA from 1 species
GAGCUACGCCGGGGCUGUGGGAAUAAGAUGGCGGGGAAGAAGAAUGUUCUGUCGUCCCUCGCGGUUUACGCGGAAGAUUCAGAGCCCGAGUCUGAUGGCGAGGCUGGAAUCGAGGCGGUGGGCAGCGCGGCUGAGGAGAAAGGCGGAUUGGUAUCUGAUGCCUAUGGGGAGGAUGACUUUUCUCGUCUAGGGGGUGAUGAAGAUGGUUAUGAAGAAGAAGAAGAUGAGAACAGUAGACAGUCGGAAGAUGACGAUUCAGAGACUGAAAAACCUGAGGCUGAUGACCCAAAGGAGAAGCUCGGCACAGUGACAGAGGCACCCAGGGCUCAGCAAGCUCAUGGCCCAGCUUGUUGGACUCAGAGGGCAGAAGAAUCACAUUCUAAACAUGACAAGAGACGUGACUCAACAACCUCAGCUGAGCCUGACAGCACACACACCCCACACACCUUUCCAUCUCCAGGGUCACAAAAGCCACAAGAAGCCACGGGGAGGCUCCUGGCCUCUUACUUUACCUAAGGAGCCCCUGAAGUGGAUAAUACAGAAGCAGAAAAGCGAGACCCCCAGGAACUCGUGG